rnacentral:hammerhead_ribozyme from 12 species
CAGCUGUCUAAGGUCGUCAACUUUACUGAUGAGUCCCCAGGUGUUCUCUUGGGACGAAACAUCUU